rnacentral:rRNA from 1 species
GAUGAACGCUGGCGGCGUGCUUAACACAUGCAAGUCGAACGAUGAAGCCCAGCUUGCUGGGUGGAUUAGUGGCGAACGGGUGAGUAACACGUGAGUAACCUGCCCUUAACUCUGGGAUAAGCCUGGGAAACUGGGUCUAAUACCGGAUAGGAGCGUCCACCGCAUGGUGGGUGUUGGAAAGAUUUAUCGGUUUUGGAUGGACUCGCGGCCUAUCAGCUUGUUGGUGAGGUAAUGGCUCACCAAGGCGACGACGGGUAGCCGGCCUGAGAGGGUGACCGGCCACACUGGGACUGAGACACGGCCCAGACUUCUACGGGAGGCAGCAGUGGGGAAUAUUGCACAAUGGGCGCAAGCCUGAUGCAGCGACGCCGCGUGAGGGAUGACGGCCUUCGGGUUGUAAACCUCUUUCAGUAGGGAAGAAGCGAAAGUGACGGUACCUGCAGAAGAAGCACCGGCUAACUACGUG